GGACGAGAAAUCUUAAGCUUGCUUAAGAGAGUAGAGUAGCGAACGGGUGAGUAGCGCGUAGGUAAUCUACCUCUGAAUUGGGGAUAACCUAUCGAAAGGUGGGCUAAUACCGAAUGAAGUUUUGCGAGUUUAGGCUUGCGAGAUGAAAGAUAGCCUCUGUUUACAAGUUAUUGUUUAGAGAUGAGCCUGCGUACCAUUAGCUAGUUGGUAGGGUAAUGGCUUACCAAGGCGAUGAUGGUUAGCUGGUCUGAGAGGAUGAUCAGCCACACUGGAACUGACACACGGUCCAGACUCCUACGGGAGGCAGCAGUGAGGAAUUUUGCGCAAUGGGGGAAACCCUGACGCAGCAACGCCGCGUGAGUGAUGAAGGCCUUCGGGUUGUAAAGCUCUGUCGAGUGGGAAGAAUGUAAUGAUUAUGAAUAGUAGUUAUUAUUGACGGUACCAUAGAAGGAAGCACCGGCUAACUCCGUGCCAGCAGCCGCGGUAAUACGGAGGGUGCGAGCGUUAUUCGGAAUUAUUGGGCGUAAAGGGCGCGUAGGCGGUUUAUCAAGUCAGAUGUAGAAGCCCUGAGCUUAACUCAGGAAAUGCGUUUGAUACUGAUAGGCUUGAGUAUGGGAGAGGGGAGUGGAAUUCCUGGUGUAGAGGUGAAAUUCGUAGAUACCAGGAGGAACACCGGUGGCGAAGGCGACUCUCUGGACCAAUACUGACGCUGAGGCGCGAAGGCGUGGGGAGCAAACAGGAUUAGAUACCCUGGUAGUCCGCGCAGUAAACGGUGAUCACUAGGUGUAGUGGGUAUUGACCCCUACUGCGCCGGAGUUAACACAUUAAGUGAUCCGCCUGGGAAGUACGGCCGCAAGGUUAAAACUCAAAGGAAUUGACGGGGGCCCGCACAAGCGGUGGAGCAUGUGGUUUAAUUCGACGCAACGCGAAGAACCUUACCUGGAUUUGACAUCGAGGGAAUUUUCUUGAAAGAGAGAAGUGCCCUGAAAAGGGAGCCUGAAGACAGGUGCUGCAUGGCUGUCGUCAGCUCGUGUCGUGAGAUGUUGGGUUAAGUCCCGCAACGAGCGCAACCCUUACCUUUAGUUGCUAAAAAUAGGACUCUAGAGGUACUGCUCCGGUUAACGGGGAGGAAGGUGGGGAUGACGUCAAGUCCUCAUGGCCUUUAUAUCCAGGGCUACACACGUGCUACAAUGGGCUGUACAGAGGGAUGCGAGCUUGCGAGAGUGAGCAAAUCCCAAAAAGCAGUUCUCAGUUCGGAUUGGAGUCUGCAACUCGACUUCAUGAAGUUGGAAUCGCUAGUAAUCGUGGAUCAGCAUGCCACGGUGAAUACGUUCCCGGGCCUUGUACACACCGCCCGUCACACCAUGAGAGUUGGUUGUACCAGAAGUUGUUGGACCAACCUUUACGGGGGGUAAACACCUAAGGUAUGGCUGAUGAUUGGGGUGAAGUCGUAACAAGGUA
rnacentral:rRNA from 1 species